CCUACGGGAGGCAGCAGUAAGGAAUAUUGGACAAUGCCCGCAAGGGUGAUCCAGCCAUGCCGCGUGCAGGAAGAAGGCCCUAUGGGUCGUAAACUGCUUUUACACCGGAGAAAACCUCCCUUCGUGAAGGGAGCUGAUAGUAUGGUGAGAAUAAGCAUCGGCUAACUUCGUGCCAGCAGCCGCGGUAAGACGAAGGAUGCAAGCGUUAUCCGGAUUCAUUGGGUUUAAAGGGAGCGUAGGUGGACUGAUAAGUCAGUGGUGAAAUCUUCGAGCUUAACUCGGAAAUUGCCAUUGAUACUGUUAGUCUUGAGUACAGUUGCUGUGGGCGGAAUAUGACAUGUAGUGGUGAAAUACAUAGAGAUGUCAUAGAACACCGAUUGCGAAGGCAGCUCACAAAGCUGUAACUGACACUGAGGCUCGAAAGUGCGGGGAUCAAACAGGAUUAGAUACCCUGGUAGUCCGCACCGUAAACGAUGAUUACUCGCUGCUAGAGGGGCAACCUUUUUAGGUGUCUUAGACGAAGCGAUAAGUAACUCCACCGUCGGGAGGUACGCCGGCGACGGUACGUAAACGUUAAAGUAAGUUAGUACGGACGUAGAGACGNGCGACGGACGACGACGAGGGGAGGAGG
rnacentral:rRNA from 1 species